CACGAGGAAUUUUUCAUCAAAUCUUGGCAUGCCACAGCAGAACAGACCAAUAAAAAUAUGUUAUUCAGGAUGUCUGCAAUCCAGUAAAGCAUGGAAAACUGGGAAUAGUC